rnacentral:lncRNA from 1 species
GCCUGUUACAUAUUCAGAAGAAUCAUGGAUCAAAUACCGGAGCAGUGUUGUUAAAGCCGGAUCUGUCUUUCCAAUAAAUCUCUGAGGAUGAGUUUUAUAAAGAAACUUAUGGAACCAUUCCUGUUGAAGAAGGCUCUCUGUUAUCUCAGAUUUGAAUAUUCCUGGCGAUAUUGAGUUCACUCGAAUAUUGUCUGCUCCUAAUUCAAGUGCCAUUAUCUGUGAUUCGAUCAUCAAAUAAAAGUUACUAAUCAAUCCAUAUAUACUUUACGAAAACCUAUAAACUCAAAAUACUAGCUCAAUGCGCACAUUGAAAUAUCUAUGUCGCAUAGAGCCCUCAUAGACAGGGGUGCUCUAUACGACUAGGCUUAUAGGAAGUUGUUUGAGGUAUAUGUACCUUAGUGACCAUGUCGAGAGCCAUCUUUGAAGAAGCGUAAGCAAGAGUCCCUCCUACUAGUACUCUAUUCAGAGCAGCUAUUGAGGUUAUAUUAAUAACAGAUCCUCCGCCUUGUUUAGCAUCGCGCAUACGUUUACAAACAUAUUUUGAGACCAGCCAUGCCCCUCUUAGAUUCGUCUUAUA